CUUGCUCGAGCUCUGGACAUUCUCUUCAUAUUACAUGCAGAACAUGAAAUGAACUGCUCUACUGCAGCAGCACGCCACCUUGCUUCAAGGUAUGCAUCUUAUUGUCUACACUAAAAAAGAGAUUGUUUUUUAUUAGUUACCUUGUGAGUCUGCCUGUGCAGUGGUGAAAGAGAUUGUUUUUUAUUAGUUACCUUGUGAGUCUGCCUGUGCAGUGGUGUUGAUGUAUAUACAGCCCUUGCUGGAGCAGUUGGGGCGCUAUAUGGUCCUCUUCAUGGUGGAGCAAAUGAGGUAAUCAG
rnacentral:lncRNA from 1 species